CUAGUAAGUUGGCUUAGGGCAGGGCUGUCCAACCUGCGGCCCCCCAGAUGUUGCUGAACUACAACUCCCAUGAUUCUUUCAAUUAAAAAGAUAGCCAGGGAAUCAUGGGAGUUGUAGUUCAGCAACAUCUGGGGGGCCGCAGGUUGGACAGCCCUGGCUUAGGGCCUAUGAUUAG